AAGCUAGCUGCCUGCAGAACUUACCUGGACUGUGAUUUAAGCUAGCUGCCUGCAGAACUUACCUGGACUGUGAUUUAAGCUAGCUGCCUGCAGAACUUACCUGGACUGUGAUUUACCUGGACUGUGAGUUAAUCUAUUGAGACACUGCUUUACCUGGACUGAGACAACAAACUGUAAUCUAUAACAAAUUGUAACUCGGUAUCUUUGCUAAUGGUGUCAUUGCUGGUAUAAUUUUUCCAAGGGCUUCUUGCAUGGAGCCAUCAAUUGGCUUGGUAUUGUGGCAUUUUGUAUCCUCCCUUUCUGUUUGUAGCAGGUUAUUUUUGGUGUUUCUGUAAAAACCACUAUGGUCCUUAUUUAAAUUAAACAAAAGGGGGAAAUAUUAGAGUCUGUAAACAAGUCAAAAUAACACCUGGCAUUUUGCCAGGGGAAUGUUAGAGUUCAUAAACAAGUCUGGAUGGUGCCUGGCAAAAUGCCAGAGGGAGUGAUUUGAGAAGUAACAAAAGCGAGCCAUUAAGUGUGGAGAUUCCUGAUUGGUUGACUGCUGUAUCUAGUUUAUGCUAAUUAGAUAAGCUGUGUGGAAUGUAUAAAUACUGCUCCUGUCCUGCAAUCCUACUCCUGCUGUAUCAAUGUACACAAGUUAUUCGUCACCCCCCGGUUAUUUUGCUGCAGCCGGACUGCGGCAGCUGAUCAACUAUUUCCAGUGAAAAUUUAGCACCCAAGUUGAUAUGUGCUAUAAAGUAUAAAAUACUCAGAAAAGGAAUAUAAAAAUCUCAUUAUAAUUUUUAAACAUUGAUGUUGAGGUGCUGAAAUUUUGAUAUUUUGAGUUAAAUAAGAUGCAUUAUUCAAAUUACUUUUACCUACUUCUUAUUAGUUUUUUAAAAAUGUAAUGACUUGAAAUUUUUAAAUUACCUCUGUGGCUUGCAUUGUAUUUCUACAGGCCAGUGCUGCCCUGAAUUGGUAGAAACAUAAGACAGUAGAGCUAGAAGAAGCCUUAAGUGUGGCCUGGAAUAUCCCCUCAUUUUAGAGAUGAGGACCUGACACAGGAGAAGUUUAAAUGACCUUCCCAAUAACAGGAACCCAGACCUCUUUUCUCCUAGCCAAGGUUGCACAGAAGUUGGAACAUUGCAGUCAAGUUGUGCAGAAUGAGAUAAUGAAUUGAUAGCACAUGGUUCAGAUAAUAAACAGCCAUAUUUAU
rnacentral:lncRNA from 1 species